AAGGGUAUAGUUCAGUGGUAAAGUGCGUGCCUAGCAUGCAUGAGGUCCUCGGUUCAAUCCCCAGUACCUCUA
rnacentral:tRNA from 1 species